UACGUAGGGUGCAAGCGUUGUCCGGAAUUAUUGGGCGUAAAGAGCUCGUAGGCGGUUUGUCGCGUCUGCUGUGAAAACUCGGGGCGUUAACUCCGGCCUGCAGUGGGUACGGGCAGACUAGAGUGCGGUAGGGGAGACUGGAAUUCCUGGUGUAGCGGUGAAAUGCGCAGAUAUCAGGAGGAACACCGGUGGCGAAGGCGGGUCUCUGGGCCGAUACUGACGCUGAGGAGCGAAAGCGUGGGAGCAAACAGG
rnacentral:rRNA from 1 species